rnacentral:rRNA from 1 species
AGCAGUAGCCACGGUAAUACGUAGGUGGCAAGCGUUGUCCGGAAUUAUUGGGCGUAAAGGGCUCGCAGGCGGUUUCUUAAGUCUGAUGUGAAAGCCCCCGGCUCAACCGGGGAGGGUCAUUGGAAACUGGGAAACUUGAGUGCAGAAGAGGAGAGUGGAAUUCCACGUGUAGCGGUGAAAUGCGUAGAGAUGUGGAGGAACACCAGUGGCGAAGGCGACUCUCUGGUCUGUAACUGACGCUGAGGAGCGAAAGCGUGGGGAGCGAACAGGAUUAGAUACCCCUGUAGUCCCUGUCUCUUAUAC